CAAGGAGUAGUACGGAUCCGCACUUUCGUACGCUGAGUUGGUGGAGCGCAGCCGCGGCGCCUCGGGAUUGUACGACCCUGUAAGCGCAACGGGGAGGUUGAGGGCGCGGGGCAGACCAGGGGGUUAGAGGGUGGGCGAUAUGGGUCUGGGGGGAGCGGACCGGGUGGAUCCGACACACGAAAACACAUGUACAUGCACACACGUACACGCACACUCACAUGCGCCCCCAGAUUGCGGGCAUUCGCAGUGCGACCUCUGCCUGCACCUGCAGCUAGGUGCAACAUGCGUGUAAGCACUGUCGCACAGCGCAUGUCUUAUUAGCCACACAUACAUACAUACAUACAUACAUACAUACAUACAUACAUACAUACAUACAUACAUACAUACAUUCACACAGAUGUUGUCAUGUCUCCCCCGAGUAAGCGGCCCCACCUGGCCCCACAUCGGGUUUGGCGGCCGUGAUGUCGUCGUAACGCUUCACCUGCAACCACCAACCACCAGUCACACGGCGAGGUGACGUCAGCUCAGCUGUCAGAUCAGAUCUGGAGCAACCUCGUCCAGCUCAGCUCAGCUCAGGUUAAAUCAACUCAUGUCACAACUUAGGUCAGGUUAGGUCAAAAAAAUCGGGUCCCAGCGCAGGAAUCAGGCGAGGUGGAGUGGGCUGAGGAAAUGGGGCUUAGGGUUAGUGAUGUCCGUUGGCGAUGGUGGUUACCCCAGAGCCCCCUAAGGGCCGCUCGAGGGCAACAAGGGGGCUUAAAAUGAACCCCCAAAAACGGAGGAAACCCAAGCGCGACUAUGAAUGAAUGCAGACAGGCACGCGAGAACAUACACACCCACCAAGUCGUUACUCGUGUGCCGGGCUCCAGCCAGUUCCUGCCCACACGACUCAGGUCACCAGUAAAACACGCACACACAUACAUACACACUUACACACAUUCACAACGUGCCUCACGCCACGCCACGCCACGCCGCGCCAUGCACACACACACACACAUACACACAUACACACAUACAUACACACAUACAUACACACAUACACACAUACAUACACACAUACACACAUACAUAUACACACUCACACUCCCACCUGCAGCCGGGUAUCGGGUUUCAGCCCCAGCGGCAGGGCCAAGGUCCGGGGCAGCCCCGAGGAGAAGGCCACCUUGUAGGCCGGUGUCUCCCGGGCGCUGGUGUAGGCGUCGCAGCUGUUCGGGUGGCCGUCGAUGGUGACUUGGGGGGUGUAGACACUGCGAAACCAGCCAAACAGGGUGGUGAUGGAGUGAUUCGACGCGAUGCUAUAUCAGAUGCCGUGUUAGAUGCCGUUAAAACCGUGCUGGCACGAUCGCACGACGUACCUUUGCGGUCGCUCCUCCGCGGGUGGUUUGACCUCCCUGGCGUUCUUGCCCCAGCGGUCCGCCUCAAUGAUUCGUUCCUCUCGUGGGGCCCAACAGCCCUUGCUGGUCCAGUAGGUGAAGUCGGGCUCGGACAUGCGGCUCACGAUGGGAGGGGAGACGGCCGCUGUGGCAAUCUCCGUGGCGGUGCGACCUCUGAUGCGGGUGGGGUAGGGGUGGGGUAGGGUGAGGUGAGGCUAGGGUGGGGUAGGGGUGAGGUUGGGGUGGGGGUGGGGUAGGGGUGGGGUAGGGGUGGGGUAGGGGUGGGGUAGGGGUGGGGUAGGGUGAGGUGAGGCUAGGGUGGGGUAGGGGUGAGGUUGGGGUGGGGGUGGGGUAGGGGUGGGGUGGGGUGAGGUGGGGCGCCCGAUGGGAUUGUGUUUGUGAGGACGUUAUGGGGCGGGAAGGGGUGGUAGUUGUGUGGACAGUUGUGUGUGGAGGGGGGUUGGACGGCACACACACACACACACACACACACACGGCCUCCUGACACAUCAUCACUCCUCUCCUACUAUCAACAUCUACGUGAUGAUGAACCCUAUACCGGGGGCUACAGGGCUACGUCUCUAUCCGGUUGCUUUGGAGAAGUCCAAUCAUGUGGCACGACGUCGCAGGUGCCUACUCGCGGCUCGCCCCCGGCUCGCGUGAAGCCACCUUCCAGCGAAAACCACCAUCAGCAGUUCUCGAAUCGCGGCUCAGGUCACUAAUAAACACGCACACACGCACACACAAACAUACAUACGUACGUACAUACAUACGUACAUACAUACAUAUAGACACGCGUCCUAACCCACCUCAUCGGGGACAAGAAUACGGCCGAGGGCCGCCGAGGGUCACGUGCGUACUGCACUGUGUGGUGGACCUCCCCUGGAGUCACGGUCAGCGGCCCCGUGGCCCGCUCACCCAGAGGAUCGGAGUUGUACGAACCAGGACCCAAGACGUGUUCGUACGGCGGUUUCUGCAACACGUGUUGGUUUGUGUACAGGAGAGAGGCGGAGGGGGCAGGGCGCUAGGUAAAUGCGCAUAAUACCGUACAACACGGUUUUACUCACUACAAAGCGCACAAGGCCAAGCUGUUCUCUCGAAUAUUGCUAUCUAUCUAUCUAUCUAUCUAUCUAUCUAUCUAUCUAUCUAUCUAUCUAUCUAUCCAUCUAUCCAUUUAUCUGUUUCCGUUAAUUUUCUUCAUGCACGCGGGCAAAGGGUCUCCUUAGAGCACAGGUCCAACCAGGUGACGAUCAAGUCCUACUCAGAUCAAAACGACGAACGAGGGGCUCGGACGCCACUCAGUCCCUUGGUUCAUCAACCUGGUCUGCCUGGCUGUCUGUCUACCUGUCUGUCUAUCUGUCUGUCUAUCUGUUUGUCUGCCUGUCUGCCUAAUUGUCAGUUAGGAACCGGUCAGUCAGUCUGUUUGUCGGUCUAUCGGUCUGCGUCUCGCGGCGCCAACCGCGUGUGGGAGGUUUAUGAAAGUCGGGAGGCCAGCUGAACCCACACCCGCCGUGCGGGCCCCUCACCCCCCCUCUGGCUUAGGCAGCAACCCUUUGCUUAUUGCAUAAGAUUUCCCUUCCCCCUCUCCCCCCAUUUCCCCGACCGCCCCAAAACACACACACACAUGCAGACACACAGACACACACGCGCACCAGUUUCCGAAUGCGGGUAUCCUCCGAUGCGAGUUCGUUCAGGGCCAUGUGGGGCAAGGAGCGAAUGGAGGUGAAGGGGCGCCUGUCAUCCUCAACAAAGUCCUCAAUGCCCUCCUUGGGCGCGUAGAAGGAGUCCCGAAACACGGUGCGGGUGCCGGUGUCCACCCUAGUACGAUGGAGGCGAUAAAAAUGGCGGAAGGCGGGGAUUUAAGCGAUUAAGCAAUCAUGUGCGCGGGUUUAGGUGGGCUCAGGGUUGAGGGUCAACAAUGGGAUUGAUAGGUGAUGGUACUGGUACUGGUGCUACUAGUUUUGAUGUUUUUGCAAUCGUGGUGGUGGGAGAUGGGGGCCAUAUUGCCUGCAGCCUGGGCGGGGGGCUGUUGCGGGGCUGGAGUCGGGUUUGAGGUGGCUGGAUGGGGGAGGUGUGAAUGGUGGGGGAGGCUGGCGCGGGAGGGAGGGGGGAGUACAUCGUUAAUGCGGGGACGGGGG
rnacentral:lncRNA from 1 species